UUCCAUCUGUUACGCCUAGGGUUUUAAUUUUUCAGACGUUACACCACCAUGAUCCCCUUUGAUUCAAUUGUUCAGACGUUACCAAAAUAAAAGAUACCCAUUAAUUUCUGCAUUCAAUCCCUUGAACUGUUCGACUAUAUAAACCUCUACAAGUUAUCUUGUGAGGGUUCCCGGGAUUUCAAUCUCCUUCUUCUCUAUCAAAAUUUAUUCAUGAUCUGUUGAACAAAAAGAAAUAAUUAAAAAGCGAAGAGUUCGUGCCAAUUGAAAGUUGGUUGAUUAAACUAUUUUAGUUGAACUGGAAAUGCUACAAUUCCAAAAUGGGACCUCAUUGAGAUUAUUAAUCUUGGUUCAAUUAUCUGAAAGGAACUCAAUAAGUACACUUUUACUACUUACUGCAUUCGUUUUUGGUAUCCCAUCUUAUGACUCAAUUUUUUUCCUAAUGGUUUUCUUAAAACAUAUAAUGGGCCAUAUAUAAAUCAGUUUCAUCCAUGUCUUUUGGGUACUCAUUGACGAUUUCUCUCGCUCUCUUAAGAUAGAGAAGACGAACUCCAUCGUGUUCCAAAGGUAUCAUUAGGAGGCAUAUAUUGCAGGUAUGCUGCAUUCUUCGCGUACUUAUAUUAGGUAAAAGUAGUUCUCAUAGUUGUAUCACACUAUGUUACGCCCGGUACAUCAAGUUUUGAUAGUAUGCGAUAGUCAUUUCAGUUAGCUUGAUAACUAUGGUUUCUGUUGUUGGAGUUAGGUCAGUUUGGAUAUCUAGCGCAUUCCUUUUAUAGUCCACUAUUAUAUAGUGUUCUUCUUGCACGAGCCACUCAUGCUAAAGCAUUAAUAUGGUUGCCAUUAAUAAUUUGUGAACUCCAUCAAAAACACUUCAUAAUCAGUCUCUAUUAGGUAAAUGAUUGUGAUUUCUGGGAUUUUACCUUCAGAAAGAAAAAACAUCUCCUUAUAUAUACCUCAUAGCUGGAAAGUGAUUGGUUGGUUCUCUAUCUAGGCUUAUAAGUUCCAUGACUCUGCUGAUAAGAAGUUAUGGAGUUGACACUAUUUUUUUUCACUAGAAGAAGGCGAUGGAUGACUCUACUUUGCGUGCUUGAGUUUAGCACUGUGUGGUUACAAUUUUCGCCAAGUAUGUUAUUGGCUAUGUGUUCAUAUGAACUCUGAGAAUCCUAACCUUGCAAGUGAAUUUUCAGGGAGUUCAGUUCUUAUCUGCGGUUGUGGGUUGACUUUCAUUUUUCCGUUGUUAACUUAAUGCAUUUUAUAAUUUGCAUGACAAUAUGAAAUAUGUCCGAGUCUUAUAGUUAUAUAUAUGUAGAAGUGUUGAUUUUUAUGUUCAAGAUUGUGUAGUUUUAGGAUAGACUAGCUAUAGACGUACAGGCGACAACCGCUACCUCUGUAUGUAACACAAUCUAAUGAAGAACUGAUAUGGGAUCUGGAAGCGGGAAACCGCCAGUGUAGUUGAUUACUCUUGGAAUCGAAAUUUUAAUCUUAGACCGAGAUGGACAUCAUAGUUUGGAUCAAAUUGAUUUUUUUUGUAAUGCAUACUUCAGAUCUAUAUUAUGUUCUCAAAAUUAUCAAUUUUGAAAUCAUAAAGAACAUCACAGUAGCAUAUAGCAUAUAACCUUAUACUCUGCCAUAAAGGUAGCAAAAAUGAUAUUUAGUUACUUUUUUCUUUGUAACUUUUUUUAUAUAAUUUUGUUAGUGUUGCAGUGAUUUUUAAUGGCAUGUCAACACUGAUACAAGUCUCCCAAGAGAAACCCAAUUAGCAGGUAUAUGAUUACGGCUACCAGAAAUUGGCAAAGGAUCCAAGUUAGGCUCGCCCAUAACUUGUAUAUAGGAUACCAAGUUGACUUCUAGGAUACCAAAGCGAUUAGCAGUUUGAAUUUAUUGCUGCUCGAUCAGAACGUAAGCUGCCUAAAAAGUGUUUAGCCAAAAACCCGGUUUGCAUUCUGCGGAAAAUGUGCUUUCCAAAUGGAACACUGAGAUCCAGCAUCUUGCUAUCUAACCGAAAACUCAAAAGCUCCCCAGGCACGUCAGAUCCACGAGCUUACUUUGCAGCACAUUAGUGGUUGGUGAUCUACAGAAGUAGUGGAACAAAUUCCAACGGUCAUCACAGAUGUGGUGAUCGUUAUGUGAAGGAAAGCUUGGUGUCACUGAUUUACGAUGUUGUUGCAGAGUACUAAUUCAACAUAUAUUAUUCGGUCAUUGCCUGUAUGAAUUUAGAGUGCUCGGAAUUAUGUAGAAUACAUUAGCUGAGAUACUAG